rnacentral:tRNA from 1 species
UGGGGUUGUAGCUCAUGGUAGAGUGCUUGCCUAGUAUGUAUGAGGCACUGGGUUCGAUUCUCAGCACUGCAA